rnacentral:rRNA from 1 species
GAUGAACGCUGGCGGCGUGCCUAAUACAUGCAAGUCGAGCGAACAGACGAGGCGCUUGCUCCUCUGACGUUAGCGGCGGACGGGUGAGUAACACGUGGAUAACCUACCUAUAAGACUGGGAUAACUUCGGGAAACCGGAUCUAAUACCGGAUAAUAUAUUGAACCGCAUUGUUCAAUAGUGAAAGACGGUUUUGCUGUCACUUAUCGAUGGAUCCGGGCCGCUUUAGCUAGUUGUUAAGGUAAAAGCUUACCAAGGGAACGAGGCGUAGCCGAACUGAGAGGGUGAUCGGCCACACGGGAAGGGGGACACGGACAAGAGUCCUACGGGAGGCAGCAGUAGGGAAUCGUCCGCAGUGGGCGAAAGCUUGACGGAGUAAGGCCGAGUGAGUGAUGAAGGUGUUCGGAUCGUAAAACUCUGUUAUUAGGGAAGAACAAAUGUGUAAGUAACUAUGCACGUAUUGACGGUACCUAAUAAGAAAGCCACGGCUAACUACGUG